AUCACGUGAGUGUAAGCAAAUCUCAAAAAUAACGUCCCAGUUCGGAUUGUAGUCUGCAACCCGACUACAUGAAGCUGGAAUCGCUAGUAAUCGCGAAUCAGCAUGUCGCGGUGAAUACGUUCCCGGGUCUUGUACACACCGCCCGUCACACCAUGGGAGUUGGCAACGCCCGAAGCCAGUGACCCAACCGAGAGGAGGGAGCUGUCGAAGGCGGGGCCGGUAACUGGGGUGAAGUCGUAACAAGGUACC
rnacentral:rRNA from 1 species